UCUAGACCAUUUCUUCUCCUAUCCCUCUAUGUGAUCUUCAACCCCCAUCUAGCCUUUGCUCCAGUAAGAUCUGUCACCGGUGGCGGAUGUACAUUGAUACUUAUAGGUGCUUGAGCAUCCAUUACUUUUAACCAAAUUUAGUAAAUUUACAUAGACAAUUAUAAAUAUAGAUAGAUAAAUAUUGAGUGAGCACCAAUAAUUAAACUUUUUUUUCUCUUUUUUUGGAUUUUUUACUGGCGAGUACCCAUCACUUUAAAAUUCUGGAUCCGCCACUGUCUGCCACAUUAACACCGUAAUAUAUUAUUUCAAUUUCUCUCUUUCUCACAAGCACAUACACACUAUUUACAAUGUUUGAUUUUCUUCAAAAAAAAGUUUUUUAUUUAACAAUUUUAGAAGACUAAAUCUGCAACGCUGCGCAUUUACUUCUCAUGCUUCUUUUGUUCAUUACAGAUCCAGGGCAUGUCAUAUUAUUUCUCAUGCGGAAUUUCCUUUCCUUGCAUUUAUUGUAAUUUUCUUGUUAAGCCAAAGAAGAAUUGAUAAUAAAUACUCCAUUGCUUAAACUCGAGUAUAUGAAGGUGGAAAUUUCUUCAGGAUUGAAUUAUUAGACAAGUGGUUAUAUUAGCAAUUUGAGGAAGCAACAAAUUUUUAUUUAUUUUUUA